GAACGCCGUAUGCGGGGAAACUCGCACGUACGGUGUGAGGCGGGGGAAAACAGCUCCUAACGGGUAAGCCGAGGAUGUCUGUUACCUAUCGCUAU
rnacentral:ncRNA from 1 species